rnacentral:rRNA from 2 species
UGGGGGAUAUUGCACAAUGGGCGAAAGCCUGAUGCAGCGACGCCGCGUGGGGAUGAAGGCUUUCGGGUUGUAAACCUCUUUCGCUAUCGAACAAGGCCCGCUUAGGGUGGGUUGAGGGUAGGUGGAGAAGAAGCGCCGGCUAACUACGUGCCAGCAGCCGCGGUAAUACGUAGGGCGCGAGCGUUGUCCGGAAUUAUUGGGCGUAAAGGGCUUGUAGGCGGCUUGUUGCGCCUGCUGUGAAAACGCGGGGCUUAACUUCGCGCGUGCAGUGGGUACGGGCAGGCUUGAGUGUGGUAGGGGUGACUGGAAUUCCAGGUGUAGCGGUGGAAUGCGCAGAUAUCUGGAGGAACACCGAUGGCGAAGGCAGGUCACUGGGCCAUUACUGACGCUGAGGAGCGAAAGCAUGGGUAGCGAACAGG